GGCCUGAGUCACCUGAAAUGCAGCAGUUUUCAAAGAUCAGACCCCAUCACCUGAUCCACUGACGGGUGGCUGCUGUUACAGGGGCAGAAAAAGUUUAAAAAUAGUCUAUAUUAACUUUAAGAUCCUUGACCAAUGCAAACUGAUGUAUGCAGUAUAGGAAGAAAAAACUCUGGGAGAAGAACUGCAAGAAAACCAAAGAGAAAUGCAGGAUGUCUUUCUUUUGCUCUCUGGACUUUGACUGAAGUGAAUCAGGUACUAGAUGGUGGCAUCUAACAGGACUUUGAUGACUGAGUGAAUCUGGAAAGUGGAAUCAGCAACCAAUCAAAUGACAGACUACUGAAAGAGUCAGAGCAUGAUGUACAAUCCACAGACGAUACCCAUUUUACAAGUCUGCAGCAAGAUUAAGAAGACAUGACACAAUUCCUUUUGGCCGCUCCAGACAAAAAUAGUAUAAUAAGCCUCAAGAGAUGAAAAGACUUGGAGAAACUCUGGUCUGGUUUUAUUUUAAAGGUCAUUUCUGGAUACAAAUGUUAACUUAUAGUCAUUGGGGCCCAAUCCUACUGAGAGCACUUCCUGAGAGAUACUGAGUGCCCUCAACUCCCACUGGGGAUACUCUGCACCAAGCAAGAAGCGCUCAGUACUUUUAUUUCAGAAGAAAUCAUACAAUGUACAUCAAGGCUAUUGUACAGCAGUUUCUCCCCAAUCCAAUGAAAAGGCUCCUGUUGACUUCAGUGGGCUUUGGAUCAGGCCCUAAAUGUGUACUCCAAGGUGGUCAACUUAGGAAAAGAAUUGACAUUGGCAAGAAAAUAGUGCUCUUAUCAGGAAUUCACCAGAAUCAACAUAUGAAAACUAUCAAGAGAAGUCUGAGAAGCUGUAUUCUACCCUCUGGAUGUCUGAGGGGACUAAGAUACAGAAAUCCACUGAGCAAUUUCAGCAAGAGUGGGUCACGCUCCCACCGCUCAGGCUGCAAACCAAUAUCCACACACUCCCCCCCGGCACUCGCAUCGAGAGACACCCCUCUGACUCUGCCUGAGUCGUUGGAUUCACUUUCUCAGCAGCUGGGUCAAACAAAUCUCUGUUCAGGUAAACCACUCGAAAAGGAGUCAUCAAUGGGAAGCUCAUCAGGACAAUCUCAUCACAGUUGCCUCCAGCACCGGAUAAUAUAGCUUCAGUUUCCCUUUCUUUAGGCUGAAUUAUUUAGAACUUUUGUUAUCUUUUCUUGAGCAUAUGUAUUCGUUUCUUAUUUCCAUGUUAACUCUCCUCCCCGGUCAGUACAAGUUUUGUGGUAGUUCAAACCGGUUUCUUCUAGCUUUGUGGCUACUUUAUCUUUUAUUUUCCUCAUGAACAUGAUUCCUCUGCAUCUUUGUCUUACAGGUGCACAGUUCUGCUUACACUUACGCUGUUAAAUGGUAUCAGAACAGACACGUAAAGUUCACAGGAGGCUUCUAUCAGACCUAAAUAUGGCUUCACUCUCAACAGGGGUUAGCUUUGCUCCGGGCUGGCCAUGUGCUUAGUGCCUUUGGCAGUAGCUUCCAUUGUCUGCAGUAGUUUCACUACAUAAAGGGGCUUAAUUGCUCCUUCUUUGAGCUGGAAAGAAAGUGCUUGGGAUGCCCAUUGGCUUUAACAAGGUCUGUAAAUGUCUUUGGAUCCAAGACUCCCAUGAUGGCAGCCACUGAAAUAACUUUGGUUAAAACAACAGAAGAGAAAGAAUAGGCCAGAUCACCAGUGUGUCCCAGUUGUAUUGCAUCACUCUGGCAAUGCAAAUCUGAGGUAACUAUCAUGUGAGCGUGGGUUUAUGGCUGGGUUGCUGUAGCAGCACAAAGCAGCCAGAGCAUACUGGCAAUUCUGGCCCACUGUGUGUGAGGAAAUUGCAGAAUGACUGGCUCAUAACUGAAGAAACUGGGGCAAAAUGUAACACUGUUGCAACUCAUUUCACUUCAAAGAGUCUGUAUUUUAGACUUUUAAAUUAACUGUACACUUUAUGCAGUGGCACUGCAAAGGCUACACUCUCUUGCUUACUAUUAUAUUGGUCACU